rnacentral:lncRNA from 1 species
GGGAUCUCUUUUGUGUGUGAUCUUAUACAUUCUAUUCUAUCUGGUAGUGAGAUAUAUUAUGAUCUUCAAUACAAAUAUCAUUGAAACUUCUUUCAAUGGAUUGAAAUAAUUUUAACUCAUCAAUAAAAAUUAUUGACCAUCAAAAUAAUUCUUGUCGGUCUCACAAUCCACCAAUGACGUCUAGCAACAUGUAAUGGCAAUCUAGC